GGCCGCGACGCUAUGGCGCACUGGAGUACCCUGUUCCUGGCAGGUCCCACUCCAUUGCCCAAGCUGAAGUUCAGUGGCACGAACAUGUUUCACUGCAGCCUCAACCUCCUGGGCUCAAGCUGUCCUGCCUCAGCCUCCCGUGUAGCUGGGACCACAAGCACUCGCCAUCACACCUGGAUAAUUUUUUGAUGUUUCAUGGAGACAGUGCUUCACUUUGUUGCCUAUGCUGGUCUUGAACUCCUGGCCUCAAGCAAUCCUUCUGCUUUGGCCUUCCAGAGUGCUGAAAUUACAGGGGAGGAACAGGAAGAGAAGAGUGUGGCCUCCUAGAAAUCUAGCACGGAGAAAGACUGGUCUUGAACUCCUGACCUCGUGAUACUCAGCCUCCCAAAGUGCUGGGAUUACAGGAGUGAACCACCAAGCCCGGCUUGACCUCUUGGCUUUUACCAAAGGAUGUUUGCUUCUGAGGAAGCUGGAAGCUGCAGCCACAAUGUGCCUUUGCAGGGGAGCCUGAGAGCCACAGGCUGGAGUGUAGUGGUGUGAUCUCGGCUCACUGCAACCUCCACCUCCCGGAUUCAAGCGAUUUUUCCUGCCUCAGCCUCCCUAGUAGCUAGGAUUACAGGCGCCUGCCACCACACCCAGCUAAUUUUUGUAUUUUCAGUAGAGACAGGGGUUUUGCCAUUUUGGCCAGGCUGGUCUCGAACUCCUGACCUCAAGUGAUCCACCCACUUCGGCCUCCCAAAGUGCUGGGAUUACAGGCGUGAACCACCUCGCCCUGCAGGAGUUGAUUUUAAUUAUGAACCAUGAUUAAGGAAGGCAAUGACCACAGAGAGAGUGACAAUGAGGUGGGGAGGCCAAGUGGAGAGUUCUGGAGCAACAGAAGAGAGGUCAGCAGAGAGCUGUCUGAAGUCUCCUUUCUGGGUGAUGGAGGGUCCCAGGUGUGACCGCAGGCAGGGAGUGGUGGCUGAGAGGCAUGUUGGAAAAGCUCACUGGAGCUGCAGCAGUCUAAGUGCCCAGAGAGAUGCGGAGUAGGCUGGCCUGUCCACGUGGGUGACGACACCAACGUCUUGUAUGAAAUCACUGUUGCAAACCUGCUGGGGGAAUGUAGAGGGGUUGCUGCUCUACAAGACGGCAAGAAGGAUGGAGAACGCAGUCAGCCAGGAACACAAGUCCUCAAUGGAUGACGAGGUGCAAGCGGAAGACCAGCAGACAGCAGUCACUGAGAGGGACAGCAGGUGACUCCGCUGCCUUUGAAAGAGAAAGGUCUUGGACACGACCACAGGAACCAUGAAGGAUAUAGACCCUACCUUAGAUUCUACAGUACGUGGGGUAUAGGAGAAAAAAGAGUCCCUGCACCAGACGGUGCCGGGGGAUGUGGGGUCCUGAGGGGCCAGUGGGGUUGGAGAGAGGGGACCCUCCUGCAAGAGGCUGAGUGGUGGCUCCAGAGCCGAUGAUGUCAUCAGAGGAGCUGGGGCAGGAUGGGGAGUGGGGAGGAGGGUCCAGUCAUAUUAGGCAAUGCACAGAUCUGGGGGGAGGCCUAUAGCACAGAGGCUCUGUCCUUUGAGGGUGACUGAACCAACAGGGGAAAGCGAGGCAUGGUGAAAAUAGCCAUGGAUGGCCAGCUGUGGUGGCUCACACCUGUAAUCCCAGCACUUUGAAAGGCUGAGGAGGAUGGAUCACCGGAGGUCAGGGGUUCAAGACCAGCCUGGCCAACAUGGGGAAGCCCCGUCUCUACUAAAAAUACAAAAUUAGCCAGGCUUGAUGGUGGGCACCUGUAAUCCCAGCUGCUUGGGAGGCUGAGGCAGGAGAAUUGCUUGAACCCAGGAGGCAGAGGUUGCAGCGAGCUGAGAUCACAUCACUGCACUCCAGCCUGGGCAACAAGAGCGAAACUCUGUCGGGAAGGGGAGAGGAGGGGAGGGGAGGGGAGAAGGAAGGAAGGAUCGAAAGAAAGACAAAGAAGGAAGGGAGAGAGAGAGGGGGAAAGAAAGAAAGAAAAGAGAAAG
rnacentral:lncRNA from 10 species